AUGAAAACCGCUCUCGUUCUCUUGCUGACAUCAGCCUUACAACAAGCCGCGUUUUGGGGGACUAAUGGAGACCUCGUGUCCAAAGCCCCCUGCAGACCCGGCUUCUCGCAAAGUUCCUACUCUGUGCUCAUUUCAAGGGAUGUACUGCAAAGCCAGAGCAUAAUUAAAGGGAGACCCUUCAUCUUUGUUAAGAGAGGAUGA
rnacentral:lncRNA from 13 species